AGUGAACGCUGGCGGUAGGCCUAACACAUGCAAGUCGAACGGCAGCACAGUAAGAGCUUGCUCUUACGGGUGGCGAGUGGCGGACGGGUGAGGAAUACAUCGAAACCUAUUUUUUGGUGGGGGUCAACGUAGGGAAACUUACGUUAAUACGCCUUAGGACUUACGGUUCAAGCAGGGGAUUCUUCGAACUUUGCCGGAUUGAAUAGCCCAUUUUCGGAUUAGCUAGUUGGCGGGGUAAAGGCCCACCAAGGCGACGAUCCGUAGCUGGUCUGAGAGGAUGAUCAGCCACACUGGAACUGAGACACGGUCCAGACUCCUACGGGAGGCAGCAGUGGGGAAUAUUGGACAAUGGGCGCAAGCCUGAUCCAGCCAUACCGCGUGGGUGAAGAAGGCCUUCGGGUUGUAAAGCCCUUUUGUUGGGAAAGAAAAGCAGCAGGUUAAUACCCCGCUGUUCUGACGGUACCCAAAGAAUAAGCACCGGCUAACUUCGUG
rnacentral:rRNA from 1 species